CCUGGUGGCUGUAGCGCGGUGGUCCCACCUGACCCCAUGCCGAACUCAGAAGUGAAACGCCGUAGCGCCGAUGGUAGUGUGGGGUC
rnacentral:rRNA from 2 species